rnacentral:rRNA from 1 species
GUGAGGAAUAUUGGUCAAUGGGCGGGAGCCUGAACCAGCCAAGUCGCGUGAAGGAAGAAGGAUCUAUGGUUCGUAAACUUCUUUUGCAGGGGAAUAAAGUGCGGGACGUGUCCUGUUUUGUAUGUACCCUGAGAAUAAGGAUCGGCUAACUCCGUGCCAGCAGCCGCGGUAAUACGGAGGAUCCGAGCGUUAUCCGGAUUUAUUGGGUUUAAAGGGUGCGUAGGUGGUUUGAUAAGUCAGCGGUGAAAGUUUGCAGCUUAACUGUAAAAAUGCCGUUGAAACUGUCGGACUUGAGUGUAAAUGAGGUAGGCGGAAUGCGUGGUGUAGCGGUGAAAUGCAUAGAUAUCACGCAGAACUCCGAUUGCGAAGGCAGCUUACUAAGCUACAACUGACACUGAAGCACGAAAGCGUGGGGAUCAAACAGGAUUAGAUACCCAAGUAGUCC